rnacentral:rRNA from 1 species
GUCUGUAUGUAGUUAUAUAGAGUCUAACCUGCCCGUUGAAUAGAUUUGAAAGGCCGCGGUAUUUUGACUGUGCAAAGGUAGCAUAAUCAUUAGUUUUUUAAUUGGAAACUUGUAUGAAGGGUUGGACAAAGAAAAAUCUGUCUUUAGAUUUAAGUUUGAAUUUAACUUUUAAGUGAAAAGGCUUAAGUGAGUUUAAGGGACGAUAAGACCCUAUAAAUCUUAAUAUUGUUUUGGUUUGUAUAGUGUUAAUGAGUGUUAAAAACUAAAUAAAACGAUAAAUAUUUUGUUGGGGUGACAAGAAUAUAAAAUUAACUGUUCUUAGGUUAAACAAAUUUGUUUGGUUAAAUUAAUAGAUCCUUUUUAAAGAUUGAAUGUUUAAGUUACUUUAGGGAUAACAGCGUUAUUUUUUUUGAGAGUUCUUAUCGAAAAAAAAGUUUGCGACCUCGAUGUUGAAUUAAAAUUUCUUUAUGGUGAAGAAACUAUAGAAGAGAGUCUGUUCGACUUUUAAAUUUUU